rnacentral:rRNA from 1 species
GGGUGCGAGCGUUANUCGGAAUUACUGGGCGUAAAGCGAGCGCAGACGGUUUAUUAAGCAAGAUGUGAAAUCCCCGAGCUUAACUUGGGAACUGCGUUUUGAACUGNUAAGCUAGAGUAUGUCAGAGGGGGGUAGAAUUCCACGUGUAGCAGUGAAAUGCGUAGAGAUGUGGAGGAAUACCGAUGGCGAAGGCAGCCCCCUGGGAUAAUACUGACGUUCAUGCUCGAAAGCGUGGGUAGCAAACAGGAUUAGAUACCCUGGUAGUCCACGCCCUAAACGAUGUCAAUUAGCUGUUGGGGCACUUGAUGCCUUAGUAGCGAAGCUAACGCGUGAAAUUGACCGCCUGGGGAGUACGGUCGCAAGAUUAAAACUCAAAGGAAUUGACGGGGACCCGCACAAGCGGUGGAUGAUGUGGAUUAAUUCGAUGCAACGCGAAGAACCUUACCUGGUCUUGACAUGUACGGAAUCUUCCAGAGACGGAAGAGUGCCUUCGGGAGCCGUAACACAGGUGCUGCAUGGCUGUCGUCAGCUCGUGUCGUGAGAUGUUGGGUUAAGUCCCGCAACGAGCGCAACCCUUGUCAUUAGUUGCCACCAUUCAGUUGGGCACUCUAAUGAGACUGCCGGUGACAUACCGGAGGAAGGUGGGGAUGACGUCAAGUCCUCAUGGCCCUUAUGACCAGGGCUUCACACGUCAUACAAUGGUCGGUACAGAGGGUAGCCAAGCCGCGAGGUGGAGCCAAUCUCAGAAAACCGAUCGUAGUCCGGAUUGCACUCUGCAACUCGAGUGCAUGAAGUCGGAAUCGCUAGUAAUCGCAGGUCAGCAUACUGCGGUGAAUACGUUCCCGGGUCUUGUACACACCGCCCGUCACACCAUGGGAGUGGGGGAUACCAGAAGUAG